AAACGAUGGAUGCUCGUUGUCGGCCUUUGUGGUCGGUGACCAAGCGAAAGCGUUAAGCAUCCCACCUGGGGAGUACGCCGGCAACGGUGAAACUCAAAGGAAUUGACGGGGGCCCGCACAAGCGGAGGAACAUGUGGUUUAAUUCGAUGAUACGCGAGGAACCUUACCCGGGCUUGAACUGCGGCGGAACGAUUCCGAGAGGAUGAGGCCCUUCGGGGCUGCCGCGGAGGUGCUGCAUGGCUGUCGUCAG
rnacentral:rRNA from 1 species